GCCAACAAUGAUGGUUUAGGAGCUCAUGAAUGAACCCAGAUGUGUCUCGGAUCUAUCAGGAAGGACCUUUCAGGCUAACUUAUUCAGGUGAAGCAAGCCAAGAAUCCUUUUUGAACAAUUGGCUUAACGAUCAUAUCCAAGAUGCACAGAACAUCCUUCAGAAGCAAGUUCUGUUCACGGAGUUCGGAAAAUCAUUGCGGACAUCGAAUGAUAACCAAAGGGACCAGCUACUAUUCAAUACUGUCUUGUGUCUACUUAGCUAUUUAUUUAUCAGCUAGCAAUGGAGGUGCUGCAGCAGGCGGCAUGUUCUGGCAACUACUUACUGAAGGAAUGGACUCAUUCCGAGACUGGCAUGAAGUAGUCUUCAGCCAGAACCCUUCAACAGCUAGUAUCAUUGUUGAUCAGUCUCCAAAGUUCAAUCGGAUUCGAUAGAUGGACGUUAGGCUGAGGAACAUGGAGAAGUGGGAGAGAGCAAAUGAUAUUAGAACAGCUGGGAACAACGGCGAUUAACAUGGAAAAAUGAGAAGCCAGGAGACUAGUUUUGAUAAUGUUAGACUAGCAAACUCUUUUAACUAGAAAAAUUAGCGUCAUCGCUGAAGUUUUGAGUAUCGAAAUCUCUAUUAGGGAUGUAUCAGCUCAUCCAAUGGUAUUUCUUUUAGUGAAAGGAAAAGGGAAGCAAUUAAAUUCUAA